GGGAAUAGGCCGCGGUUCUCUGGACAACCGCGGCCUAUUCCCUGGUCUGAGGUAAUUUUAAAAUUUUCAGAGUAUAUGCCGCGGUUGGGCGCUGAACCGCGGCAUAUAAGUUAAAAAAAAUUUCAAAAAUGCCAUUUUGUAUUUUUUUUUAAAAUGAAUAGGCCGCGGUUGGGUGUAGAACCGCGGCCUAUUCCCCCUUUAUGUCGCGGUUAAGUGUAGAACUGCGACAGAUUCUCCUUUUGAAGGUAAAAAAAUAAAAAUCGCAAAACAGUUUUGUCUUCUUCGCGAAAGAGUUUCAGACCUGCGUUUUGCUUCUUCUCCGUUAACGGCGACCUUGUUCUUCCAUUCUCUAUCAUUUUUCAUCGUUUAAACUGCAUUUUGUUCGGUGNAUUUGCCAUUUUUGACGUUGGGGAAGAUUUUUGACCGAUCAGAAUCGUCAUUUUCUACCCUGAGAUCGUGAACUGCAUUUUGUCGCACCCAUUCCAGGUACUUCCUUUAUGCCCUCGUCAAGUUUUCCAUUAAGCCUCUAUGUUUGCUUUCGUUUCUUGAUGCAUAUGUUGUUGUGGCUUUGAUCAUUUUUGUCAAAUUUGUUGUGGUUUCGGUCGUUCUUGAAGAGGCAAAGUAUGUUAGCUUUUAUUUCAAUGUUUGAUCAUUUUUUAUCAAAUAUGCUAUGAACUUUUUUUGUUAAAUAUGCUAUGAACUUUUUGUCAAAUAUGCAUAUGUUGUUGUGGCUUUGAUCAUUUUUGUCAAAUAGGCUAUGAACUUUUUUUAUUUCAAUUUUUAUUUAGGUAAUUAUGUAUGAUUGAAUGUUUGAAUUGAUAAUUUAAAUGAUUAUUAAUUGUAUGAUUGUAUGACUGAAUUGAUUGUAUGAUUGAAUUUAUAGUUUUAUAUACAAAAUUGUAUAAUUGUAAUUUCGUCAAAUUUAGGAAUAUGGAUCGAAAUUGGAUUAUGUAAGUUGAAUAUUUCAAUUAUUCAGCUAUGGAUCAUGUAAGUCUAUGAGCAAUUAUUUAUAUAUAAAAUUGAUUUAUAUAUCAAGUAUCCUUAUAUCAAAGUUAAUUUUUGAUUUCAGGUAUAUGU
rnacentral:lncRNA from 1 species